ensembl:processed_transcript
AAAUAACAGCCUCCUUUUAUUUAGCUAGUUUCCUCGGCAGGUUUGGCCACUGGCUGGUCUCUGCCCCUCUAUGGACCCGGGAUGCCUCUCGCACCUCGGUGCCUCCUGCAGCCCCCACAUUACCCUAUGCCCUGCGCGCUGCACAGAGCGUGCCCGCGCGAGCCACAGCCUCUGCCCUUCGUUGCCUCGCUUGACCUGGCUGUCCCGGGCACCCGGAGCCACCGAGGCUGCCCCCAGCCCAGUCCGAAGCUGGCCUGUCUCCCAGCCCAGUUUCCCUCCCUGAGCUUUAGGACGCGUCCCACCCGGGGCUUGGAAGCCCACAACCCUGCGGCAGCGAAAAGCAAAGGGCGGGAGGAGAGCUACAAAGGAGGACGGUGGCCGCAGCCAGAGCCAGCCCCCAGCCGUGGGUAACCUUGGAGGCGCCCUCGAGUGAGUGUGAGCGCGGCGAUCGUGGCUAGCCAGCGCACCCGGAGGGGCGGGAGGAGGGAGCUGGGAGUUGGGAAGGGGGAACCGCUCCCCCUGAACCCCAGGAGUUGUGGGCGACCACAGCAGUCAGCUCCCCCUGCUGAACCAGGGGGCAGCCCUCCCGCUGGGUAGAGUUGGCCCCGGGGCUGCGGCCGGAGGGCAGUGCGCGAGCUGGGGAGAGCAGGCCGGUGAGUUCCUGGCUGUCCGCGGAGGUGAGCUGGCUGCGCGCUGCAGCCACUCGGUGCCCUACUCUAAAGCUAGCACUCCCUUCCUUCCCUGGCGAUGACAGCUGAGGACAGCCGGGGUUCCCAGCCUGGCGUCCAACAGCUAAGGAGACAAAUUCUUCUCUGGCUUUUUACCGUCUUGGACUGUUCACAAAACUGCCCCAAGGUUUUGCUUUCCUCCGUAGUAUACUAGACAUAUCCGGAACCGAAAAUACACCUUCAUUCAAAAGGACCCCAGCCUGAACGGUGACCUUCAGGGCUGGGGUGUGCAGAACACCUAGGAGUAUGGUUUUUUUGUGGUUUUAUUCCUCCUUUUUUCUUUCUUUCUUUUCUUUUCUUUUUUUUUUUUCAAUCUUCAUAGGUGCCUCAAAAGAAUCCCCCUUUUCUCCCAACCCCCAGAUCUGGAUAUAGACUUGGUAAAUUAAGAUUCCAGCGAAAUAUUUUGCCAUCUGUGCAGAGACACUGUGUGGACUUUAGGUGUUAGGAUGUGGUUUUGGAAUUUUUUGUGUUGUCUUUAACUCUCAGCAGACAUUAAAAUAACAGCUUGGUCUCGGCCAGCAAGUGAGCAAAGGUUAUCCCAACUACCACAGCACCUGCAAAAGCACAAGUGGAACUCACACAUUUUGCUUCCCAUGUUCUAAAAUGGAUUCUGAGCCAUCCAGAGAAAUCAGCACAUAGAAGGAGGGGAACCUGACAACAGAGGUGUACAUAUUAAAAAUUACACAGGCGAGCUCAUUUUCACUGAUGAUCCAGAGAAGAGUGUAAGUUAAAAUCUUAGAACUGAAAACACUGAACAUGUCCUAAUUCUGCCUGAUUUUAUUGAAAGACCUUGUAGCAUAAUCUAAGGUCAGCAAAUGAAGUUUUUGGCUACCAACAUAAAAGAAUUUUAAAAAUCAGUUCCCUGUAGGGAAAAUAACGUUUCAAAAUAAAAGGAUGAAAAUAGCACGCAUUUUUUUUAAAGCAGAAAAUAUUAUACAGAGGAUCAAGAUCAAAAGAUUCCUGGAAAGCAACAUGAAUAAUCCAGAACCAAAACCCAGUGGUCUGUGUGUAGGUCUCUGACAGCAAUUUUUUAAAAAUAGAUUUCUGAGAUUGUUUCAAUGUAAUUGUGCAUAUGUUAGCAUUUGGAAAAAGUUCUCCAUAAAACCUUGGAUU